ACCUCAUCUCUUAAAGCAUGAAAUACUGUGAGGUGGUUUGUAAUGAUGCAUAUAUCUUGCUACCUGCUGAUAAUAACCUAUCAGCAAGGACAACAGUUUAAUUAUAUAGUACGACUCCUGCUGGCUUCCAAAUAUUUCUGUUGCUCUUUAAUUUUUUAGCUAAAAAAGAACCAGUCUCCUUAUUUUACACUAGUACAUUAAUUUAUGAAUGGAAGACAGAAAGCUUAUAUUAGCUGCUGAGGUGCCUGAAUUCUUUGUGUUGCUGCCAUGGUAUAAAAAUCUAGCCCCAGAUGCCCAUAACUCUGAUAGAUGGUGGAGAACAGGUCCCAGACCAGCUAAAGGAUGUGGAGGAAAUCCUAGACUAGACCCCUCACAGAGAUGUGCAGAAUAUUAUCUCGAAGGUGGCACUCAGCCCUGGCCAAGUGAGAUCUCCGCUUACAGACACAGAUCAGACAGCUUGGCUGAAACAUCUUUCUCCUACAGUCCGUCCUUCAGGUUCAUUCUGAGUGUGGGAUCAUAGCACCCACCUUGGGAACGGCACUGGCCCUGCAAGAGCAGAGGAGCAAUAUUCAGGAAAUUUUGAGCCUCAACCCCAGCGUUUUACUGGAGUGGCCACCACAGGAGUGAAAGAGAAGUCACCUCUCAAGACAACACCAAAAAAGAAGAGCAUGGCUAUGGAAGAAGGUUGACAGGAGAGAAAAGAGCUUCUCCAAAAGGUGUCAGAGUGUAUAUAAAGAGCCGAUAAGCAGGUACAGCUUUGACUCCCCCCCACUGCCAGUGUGGCAGCCAGAGGAGCUAACUCAGCCUUCUGCCUCUGAGGAGUCACAUCCCAGUCAUCCCACCAGCAUUCACCAUUACUGCAUGUUGUUUCA